GUGGUCCUGCACGAUCGGCUGUGCAGUAGGCUUGUCAAGGAGAGGAUCCUCCCUGGCCUCUCCUUGGGCAGAGGAGGUGGUCCAUAAAGCUGCUCUGGAGCCAAAAUAUUGCAGUCACAUCUCGGCAGCGACCUGCCCUCAGGUGGCAUUUUCAAGUCAUGGAGAAGGCGGAGACAAGAGUGUCACUCUGUGGCCCAGGCUG
rnacentral:lncRNA from 1 species